UACGGAGGGGGCUAGCGUUGUUCGGAAUUACUGGGCGUAAAGCGCACGUAGGCGGAUUGGAAAGUUGGGGGUGAAAUCCCGGGGCUCAACCCCGGAACUGCCUUCAAAACUCCCAGUCUGGAGGUCGAGAGAGGUGAGUGGAAUUCCGAGUGUAGAGGUGAAAUUCGUAGAUAUUCGGAGGAACACCAGUGGCGAAGGCGGCUCACUGGUCCAUUACUGACGCUGAGGUGCGAAAGCGUGGGGAGCAAACAGG
rnacentral:rRNA from 1 species